AGGAACAGUACCACUGCUGGAUAAUUGGAAAGUCCCUGUGUGUCAACCUCUGUGCUUCGUGGCAAGGUAGACUAGCAAACAUGCCCAACCUUUACUCACAUUCGAGAAAACACUCCCAACAAGAUUGCUUGCUCCAAAAUCAAAGAGGCACCGUCCUCCGAAUCUCGAGAGCCAGACUCCCAACAUGACUACUUUCUUAAAAAUCGAAGAGAGGGUAAAGGAACAGUACCAUUGCUGGAUAAUUGGAAAGUCCCUGUGUGUCAACCUCUGUGCUUCGUGGCAAGGUAGACUAGCAAACAUGCCCAACCUUUACUCACAUUCGAGAAAAACACUCCCAACAAGAUUGCUUGCUCCAAAAUCGAAGAGGCACCGCCCUCCGAAUCUCGAGAGCCAGACUCCCAACAUGAUUACUUUCUCAAAAAUCGAAGAGACACUGCUCCCCGAAUCUUCGAAAGCCAGACCCCCAGCAUGAUUGCUUUCUCAAAAAUCGAUGAGGCAUCGUUCUCCGAAUCAAUCGAAGAGGCGCUCGCUUUCUCAAAAGCUGGACUGCUCAGAGACCACGAGGGCCGAUCUCAGAAAUCGAAGAGGCACCUACUUUUCUAGCCUUGUCAGCACCUGUCACACGCACACUCAGCUUUGCAGAAAUUAUGGGCAUUCUGUCGAAGACUUCUGGUGAAGUAGAAAGCACAUGAAUCUUACUGUUCAAUCACCCACUUCCCACACACAACAAUAGCUCAUGGGUACCACAGAUAACUUUGCCAAAGUUCUCUGCCAAAGUUGAGCACGUGAAGCUUGCAGCUCCCACUACAUCGCUCUGACCAAGAAAGGUAAAAGAAUAGCAAAGAAACAGCACUAACAAAGUUUAGACACAUAAAUUUUGAAGGUCUAGCUACCAUAUUAUUACCCACAAGGGUAAAGGAACAGUACCACUGCUGGAUAAUUGGAAAGUCCCUGUUUGUCAACCUCUGUGCUUCGUGGCAAGGUAGACUAGCAAACAUGUCCAACCUUUACUCACAUUCGAGAAAACACUCCCAACAAGAUUGCUUGCUCCAAAAUCGAAGAGGCACCGUCCUCCGAAUCUCGAGAGCCAGACUCCCAACAUGACUACUUUCUCAAAAUCGAAGAGAGGGUAAAGGAACAGUACCAUUGCUGGAUAAUUGGAAAGUCCCUGUGUGUCAACCUUUGUGCUUCGUGGCAAGGUAAACUAGCAAACAUGCCCAACCUUUACUCACAUUCGAGACAACACUCCCAACAAGAUUGCUU
rnacentral:lncRNA from 1 species